AACCUAUGUUGAGGACAUUUCCACAGGAGCUCCUUGAACCUCUCCCAUGUAUUAAAUAGAGACUCUAAUUCCGUUUGCAUGAAGGAGGAUAUUUCAUUCCUAAGAUU